GCAGCGAUGAUCUGGAGGCAGCGGGCCCCUGGCAGGUGCUUUAUAGCCCCGCUCCGCCGCGUCACGGCCACGCUCCGCCCCGCAGCGUGGAGCCCCGCAGGGGAAACAUCGGGGCUCGGGCACGCGUGGAGGGGAAGGGGGGAAGGAGGCGGCAUCCCGUGGGUCCGCCCCACUGCGGGGAGGCACCGUCCUGCAGCUCGGCUCCGGCCCCAAGCUUCGAACACCGUGUGGUUCCCGUCCCGCACGGGGAUGGUGCGGGGAGAAAUUCCCCCGCCGGGGAUGCUCGGAGCGUGGGGCAGUGAGACACGCUGCUCUGCGUGUGUGCAACUGGGUUGGUUUGCCGUAGGGGUUGGUGGAGAUGAGUCCCGAGUUGGGAUGGAUCCCACGCGUGCUGCAGGUGGAGGCAGAAGCAGUUUGCAGGCGCUGCCGGCAGAUGGAGCGGGAGCGGUGCCCUCAGAACGGCCCCGUACUGCUCUCCCAUCCCGCGUAUUGGGCUUCCCGCAGCUUCCCCAUAGACUGACCCCGGGCUGCCGCAGCCCUUGGGGCACGAGAAAUUAAAAUAACCCCCCAAAAGAAUAAUAAACAACUGGGAAACUGCCCUGGGAGGAACCCCCGGGGGCAUCGCGUGGGCCAGAAGCAGCUCCUGGCUGCACGGCCCUUGGGAAUGGCGUGGGAUUGGGACCUGCAAAAGCAGGUCAAGAGGCAAAAAAACACGGACACAAACUGCUCCUGCACUUGACUUUCUCAAGGCUUCUUAGGAAAGGGAGUGUGUUUUCAUCUGUUUACGACGAGCUGUUUUAUAGUGUUUUUAUUGCGCGGGAAAGGAUUUAUUAUCGGGAAAGGAUGCGAGGUGGUGUGUGUUAAUGUGAUUCGGUGUGAGGUCCAAUACAAAGUGUGGAGCACAGCGGAGGAGUGGGAAGAGAAACAAGAAAAAUGAAAUGGGCCGGAGUGAGGAGAACUGAUUUUAUCUGAGUGAUGAGUUCUGCUGGCUGCAUCUCGUGGAAGGAAAAUGGGUUGGGAUUGCAUUCCUGCAAGCAAUAGUGAGAGGUUUUAACAUCUACACUGACCACGCAGCAGGGAAAUACCCUGCUGCGUUGAGCAGGCACAAACCUGACCAGCAUGUGUGGGGAUGUUUGGCACCAGUGCUUCAAAGGAAUACAUUGUUCACUCCGCUGUAAAGAAUUCCAGGCAGACAUGACGAAAGGGACAUUGCAGCUCAAGAAAAGAGACGUCCCGUGCAGCAUUGAUGAAACGCUGUUUGGAAACCAGGAACGAGCAAACAGGAAAGCUCUUUAACCAUUGAGGAGAUAGGAUCCCAGCAUGUUUUUGGCACCGACGGGAACAAUGGGGUGAUGUCACAAGCCAGAAUUCCCCACGGUGGAUGGAAGCCCAGCAAAUAAUCAUAAUUCUUUCUUGGUACAUUAGUGAAAUUUUUCCACCAUUGGUCAUCCCCCACUGAGUCCCUGUUAGGAAGUAUAGGAAGGAGACAUUGUCAAAUGGAGUUUCCUUUGGGAGAACCGUGUCUCCCCUCCCCAUCAGCUGUUAUAAAUCACGGCUUUCUGCUGACUACAAGAAAUUCCAGCAGAGCAGCUCUUGCUGCCUAAGCAGUGCUUUGCCCCAUAAGGAAGGGUGCACAAGGAGGUCUGGAUUCCUCUAGGGCAGAAGCAUCAUUUGCUGUCCAGCACUUUCAGCCUACACAGCAUCAGUACAGAGCUUUGUCUUUAUAGUUUCAGAAGUGCUGAGAAUGGCAGGGAGCUUAGAAGACACCAUCCUGGCCAAACAUUGUGGUUUGGAGAGUUUCAGCCUGUGGAAUGCUACCAAAUUGUAUGAGCAAUGCUACAGCAUCCUUCAAAUCCUAACUUCACAUUUUUAUUUUGGCUUCAAACCCAUGGAGAGUGACCUGAAGUGUACCUGAAGCACCUUGGUGCUUCAGUAUUGGUAAACCCUCAAUAUUUGUUAUCUCCAUCACAUGAGACCCCAACAUUUGGGGGACCCCAGUCCUCCGGGACUUCUGUAUUUGGUGGCUCCAGUUUUUGAAUCCCAACAUUUGGGACCUCCACAUUUGGAGAUGUGGACAUUUUGGAAGUCACUCAUUUGGCCUUCCAAUAUGGGUAAAAUCAGUGGUUGAGACCUCAAUAUUUAGGGGGAUCCUCCUUUUUCUGAAGCAGCUCUGGAACUCCCCUGGCUUCUUUUUUUGGAUAAAGGCUAGACCCACUAUGUAACUGGGGUUGCUAAUCCAUCCUCCCAGGUGGUGACAGCACUGGAACAUUAUUGGGCUGUUGCUCAAGAUCCAAGCAACUCCCACCUUUCCAAAAUUUGCUCUGCAAGCACCUGGUUAUACUCUGUGUGCAGCACACCAACUCCAGGCUGUGACUUUCCUUUUUUUGUGUGUGUGACCAUUGGUGUUAGUAGAAGGGUGGGGUAGAACUGCCUGUUUGAGUUGAGAUGGGAUUUCUCGUUCAACAGCAAAAUGGACAUUAAUGAGUCUAAACCAAAAAGAAGCAUUAAGACCUGAGUGCCUGCAUGGUCUACUGACAAUGGAUUUGUCCUUGUUCUAUUUUUGUCUGUGGUUUGCAUUAUCAGCACCCAAAUGUAGCAUGUGGGGUUGUUUACCCCAGUCCCAAUCUUGGUGUGUUCUCCCCAACCUAGGAGAUUCCAGAGACCCUCAGAUACACAGAGAGGGGCAGCCUGGCCUCAGACAUUGGGUCUGCCAUUGGAAACUGCUUGAGAUGCUCUGCUGCCCACGUGCCCCCAUAUGACCAGGUGGGCAGAAAUCCCUCAGGAAGGCGAUGGAAGGAGGAUGAAGCUUGCUGCUUCUAUCCUUCCCAGGAAGGAAGAUGCUUCUCCACUGUAACUAGAGAUCUUAAGAUAUCACUGGGUUGUGGCAAUGGUGGACCUUCAUGGGACGGCGGUCAGGCAGAAGGAGCACCUGAAACAUUGCAACUCAGAAUGCUGAGAAUGAAAAUGUAAGGGAAAAAAUUGCCUCUUGGGCCAGUCUGAGCCAAUUCCAGGAAUGGGCCAGCUAAACUGAGGAUAUUGUGAAUGUAGGGACUUGUGAUUGGCUUUGGAAAGCACUUGAACAUUACGGAUUGUGGCUCUCCUACUCCAUCAGGCUCCCACCUACAGUGAGAGCAGACUACUGGUAGGACUUGUCCCCAUCAGCAUCCCCUGCUCGUCCCCAAAGGGGCACAGAUCUGAUGUAGGCUGUUUUUAUCACUCUUAUUAUGAAGUUGAAUAAAUGUGCUGUUGAUGAUGCCCUGCCUCUACUACAGCAGCUCCAGCAGGGAGAUGCCCUAUUGAAAACUUGCAGUUCUCCCACAUCAAGAUUUGCUGAUCCUUUUCAGCACUGUUCACUCCUUUCAAAAAUUCUGAAGGCUGUGAACCCAUUGUAUUCCUUCCUUACAGCCUGGGAAGCAAAAGCACGUUCACCUUUUUUUUUCUAUGGAUGGAAAAAUUGUGCCAGAGGGGAAUGUUUGAACAUAAGAAAUUUUUUUUAUGGAGUUAAAUUGAAUGACAAUUACAAAUCUGUCCUGUGUGCCUGUCUGAUUGCAUAUUUUCUCUGCCCAAAGGGCAAGAAAAGAAAAGUGCAGUGUGUGUUUAGACAACCCAUGGAGACAUUCCUCGUACGUUGGGUGUUCAUUGGAACACUUUAACAUGGAUGUCUGCAUUUACUCCACCCUGAUGGCUGAACUUCUUCAGAACGAUGAGUGACCUGGAAUUUAUAAUUACAAUAGGUGUAAUGCAAUUAAUCACCACCUCGGAGCUGUCUUCCAUCGCUAGCUGCUUGAUGAUACCACUCCUUUGUAGCAAGUGCAGAAGAAUAGCUUGUGUAAAGUUGCUCUUUCCAGCUGAGACAAGUUCAGAGGGGUUCCUACCACCCGGACAGGCGCAGAGAUCCCUUUCUGCUCUUCUGCAACAGCUGCUUUCUGCAAAUGCCAAGGUGUUCCAGAUUGCAGACACAGCAGUGUAUGUGCUGGGCUGUACCAGCUGAUGACACGUCUGCUUGAAGGCCUCUUUAAGCAGCUAGUUUCUGUUUGGACAGAAGCUUUUACUUCUUCCACAUUGGAAUGAAUAAAAAGACAUUCUUUUU